ACCAGUGUAAUUUUUUGCUCCUUCAAGGCUGGGGUCGGUGUUCUAGAUCUCUAUGGGAAGGAUGGGCUGCCACCACAGGAUGAGACGUUUCAGAGAUACCUGGGGAGUCCAGAUGCUUCUGCUCCAUGGGAAAGGGAUGCUGGUUUUCCCACGUGGGCAUCUGAUGUUGGCAUGACAGACUUGCCUUGGUUGAAGAUUCAACUGUCUUUGAUGUUCAGCCACUCCUGUGGAAUCCUGGGUUUGAACUUUGUCCACUGCCUGAGAUGGGGCCACUUUGUAGGCUAUUGAGGAGACUGGGGCUUCCCCUUAGUUUUCACUUUGUCAGUUACCCUAAGCUUUGCAACCCCACGUGGGCCAUCAAAGCCUGGAAGUCACCUCUAUCCAUUCCCAUAGGUCUCACAUGCCUGGAUCUUCUCGCCUGCCAAGAAAUUUCUCUCCACCUGCUGGCUCAGCGAAAAUUUCUAACGUGAGUCUUCUAGCAGCUGAGCUGUCGCCUUGUGUCCGGGGCUGUCUGCACACCAGUUACCGCCAGGAUGGGAUCCUCAUUUCCAACGGAAAGAAACAUUUCAACAGAGAACCCAGUGGAAAUUGAGACGUUAUCUUCUCCUCGUCCUGAACUCCCAUCCCUACCUCAGAAGGAAUUCCUAUGUUCACAGAAGCUAAAGCCGGCUCCAGAUCCAAUUUCCUCCCAAGGACAAUUCUGUUUUGCUGUUUAGUGUACACCUUCCCAAGCAUCAUGGUCUCCCAGUGUGGCACUCUUCACCCACGAGACUACUGCAGCCCUGUACGCUACAAGAAGAGGCCAGGCGGGUGUUUUCCUAGAUGGUGAUCGUGAUUUGCUUCUAGAGCUGAUCUUGACCACACUGUUACUGGAGCUUCUGGACUCUGGUCACAUGCCAUGUCUCUGUCACUCAGAGGAGAUUGUCAUCAUAUAGGUUAUUGGAAUUUUGUUGCAUUUUUUAGUAUUCUUCAGGUCCGAGCUUGGCCACUGCAAGAACACUCUGGAUUUGCCCAUCAGCCUGUCCGAAGAGAUCUCUGUCUAUGGCUCGCAUCUGAGACUCAGUGAUGCCUCAUAGCCCACUCUGAAGCACAGCCCCUUGUUGCUUACUGCUGUUUUUUACUAAAGCUGCUGCCUACCUUGCCUGGACCUCAUUAUCAGGCCCUCUUAAGAAACUGAUGUCUAGGGCCAUGAAGCAGCUGAGCAGUGGGAAAAUCCUCCACUAUGCAAUCAUGGUCUGGGAUAAUAUUUAGGAAGAGAGAACAUGCAUAAGUUACCUACCAACCUGACGGAAAUGGAUUCCAAACCUGGCAUACCAUGCCUCACUCUUCACCAGUGUGCUCCUGAAAGAGAAGCCCAUGAUGAACACGAUGACUAUCUCUCGUGCAUUUUUCUGAUAUUUAUUCUGCAAAUCAGCUGCAUGAACCCCUGCCACUCUCCUGAAUAAGCUUCCAGGCAUUACGUGCAUGCUGUGUUCCUGUGGAGGGAUGGCAGUAAUCUCUGCUAAGAUAAACUGGAGCUUCUGUGGAUAAAGCAUAAACACAGUGAAGUGUGUAUGGCUGGAAGAUUUAAUGCCUCUACAGUGCUUAGAUACAAGUUGGGUUUGGAAUUCCAGAGGUAGAGCACUCUGAUUGGAGGCAUAUUAAGGAAAAGACACUGCCUGAGACAGCACAGUUGGUGGAAAGACCUGAGGGGCAACCCAAGUCCUCAAGCCAGAGGAAGUCCAAGCGCUCAGCCCAGACUGAGGGACCAAAUGCAGCAGGCGUUACGGUGAUGGCAGUGGAGGAGGAGUUUGUAGAACAGAGCGACAAGAUGAGAGCAAGCCCUGUGGGUCCUAGGCCUGGAAGGGAGUGCUUCGGGGCAGUUGCCAAGACUAGAUCCAUCCUCCUCAUUAAACUGUGAGGUCCCAGAGGGCAGAUAUCCUGCCUCAGUAUCUGCAGAACGAAGCGGGGGUUUAACUUGGUGCAGGCGCUCAGUGAAUGGCGGCUGGACUAGUAGAGGACCCAUUCACAAAUAUUAAUAAAUAGAUCCCAUCUCACCAUCUCUGCCACACCCCCCAGAACUGAGGUGGUGUCAGCUUUCAGUUGUGUUACAGAAAGAAAGAAGAGAAGCAUGGGUAAUUCAAAAGCUAAUCCAAGCAGCCUCCCAGGAAAAGUGAGGUGUCCCUUAGGACUCAAGAGUGUGGUACGGUUGGGCUGCUGGCUGAACCCUGGACAGACUGCACCUGCGGCCCACGUCGCUCUAAUCAGCCGAGCCACCAUAUAUCAGGAUUGACGAUGGAACGAAAAGUUAAGAAUUGCAGAUGAAUGAGAAAAAGUGAGAAAGGAAGAUACCACUGAAGUUUUUUACUUCGUCUCAAAAGACUAUUUUCAUCACAGGGCAUCUUUAAAAUAGACUUUUCAGACAAAAGCUGAGAGAAUUCAUGGCCAGCAAACCAAAUGACAGUUUGGAUCAAAUAAAGGUAUGAAGAGCACUGGAACUUUUAAUCAUGAUCUCUUCAACGUCCUGAAAAUGGUCCCACUUCCAGGCAUCUAACUCAGCAAAGGUCAGA